rnacentral:rRNA from 1 species
CCUACGGGGGGCAGCAGUGAGGAAUAUUGGUCAAUGGGCGCGAGCCUGAACCAGCCAAGUAGCGUGAAGGAUGACUGCCCUAUGGGUUGUAAACUUCUUUUAUAAAGGAAUAAACUGCGGCACGUGUGCCUUUUUGUAUGUACCUUAUGAAUAAGGAUCGGCUAACUCCGUGCCAGCAGCCGCGGUAAUACGGAGGAUCCGAGCGUUAUCCGGAUUUAUUGGGUUUAAAGGGAGCGUAGGUGGGUUGUUAAGUCAGUUGUGAAAGUUUGCGGCUCAACCGUGAAAUUGCAAUUGAUACUGGCAGUCUUGAGUACAGUUGAGGUAGGCGGAAUGCGUGGUGUAGCGGUGAAAUGCUUAGAGAUCACGAAGAACUCCGAUUGCGAAGGCAGCUUACUAAACUGCAACUGACAUUGAUGCACGAAAGUGUGGGUAGCAAACAGGAUUAGAUACCCCGGUAGUC